AUUGAACGCUGGCGGCAUGCCUUACACAUGCAAGUCGAACGGCAGCACGGGAGCAAUCCUGGUGGCGAGUGGCGAACGGGUGAGUAAUAUAUCGGAACGUGCCCAGCCGUGGGGGAUAACGCAGCGAAAGCUGUGCUAAUACCGCAUACGAUCUACGGAUGAAAGCGGGGGAUCGCAAGACCUCGCGCGAUUGGACCGGCCGAUAUCAGAUUAGCUAGUAGGUGGGGUACAGGCUCACCAAGCCAACGAUCGGUAGCUGGUCUGAGAGGACGACCAGCCAAACUGGGAUUGAGACACGGCCAAGACUCCUACGGGAGGCAGCAGUGGGGAAUUUUGGACAAUGGGCGCAAGCCUGAUCCAGCAAUGCCGCGUGCAGGAAGAAGGCCUUCGGGUUGUAAACUGCUUUUGUACGGAGCGAAAAGGCUCUCUCUAAUACAGGGGGCUCAUGACGGUACCGUAAGAAUAAGCACCGGCUAACUACGUGCCAGCCGCCGCCGUAA
rnacentral:rRNA from 1 species